UUCUCCUCUUCUCAAGAUUACUGCUGCCUUGGUUUAGGUCAAUAAUGUAUAACCCAGAAAUUUCUUGCUCAAGCUAAUACAACUGAUCCUAACCAGCUUUUGUAACUCUUAACUCACCAAAGAGAUCUACCUCCUACCUGUUCUCUACACUACUGCAGGUCCAAUGAUAUUCAGUGUCCAGAGCAAAUGGGAAUGCUGUGUAGAGAAUCUGGCAAGCAUCAAUAGGAGAAUUACAGCACACUCCAUGGAAGAAAGUCAUACCCUCUUCUGGAUAUAACUACUUUACUUUUGAGUAAUUGAUCCUGGAUUGCUACUAGGUCUCAUUAAAUAUCGAAUGCCAAACAAUGGGACAUCAAAUGACCAUGUGACCCAAGCUAGCCAUCAUGAACUGCAAGUUAUUUGGCACAUCAAGCCAGAAGUUUGGCAGGCAAAACAGCAACCAAUCAUCAAGGAAAGAAAUAUCUACUGUGCUUUCUGUUUUUCUCACUGGUUCCUGACCAAUAUGGAGGUGAAAAAAUAGAUCAUGUGGGGAGAACAGGGUGUCAACAAAAGAGAACUAUGCAGUUGUAAUCGAGGAGCCCAAAAUAUGCUACCUGAACAAUGAUGGAUCUUAAAAACCAUGAACCCUGACUCCCUGUUCUGAUGAUAAGGUGUCGUUCUGAGGUUUCACAGUGAGUUAUAACACAUCAGAGCUCCCAUUAUGCCUUGCAAAUCUGACCACAAAAUGCACUGUGUCCAGUUUAAUAAUCAAGUCAAAGAUUUGGCAGCUCCUGAAAAGAUGGGGACAGAUGGAAAUGGUAGCUGUGUGGUUUCAACUCUAUGACUUUUGUAGACUAAUUUGGAUGGAAGAGACUUGUGAAUUACUACAAGUUGUUUCUUGAGCCAGUAGAUUUUUCUACGAGGACAUGGGGAACUUGGGUCAAAAACCAUAAAUCGAAAUGACACAGAAUGGUGUCUGAGAGAUAAGAACUUGUAAUCUUUGUGACUUAAAUACUUUUAACUUUGUUUUAUAUAUGUUUUAUAGUUUUCCAUGGUUUAUCAAGUUUUUAGUCUGUGUGCCCGUAGAAUUUCUUUCUCCUUUGACAGAAUCAUUCAUACUUGUUUACUGAAAGUUUAUCUCUCUUGGAGAAUGAUUGCACCAAAUGGAUGUUGACAGAGAUGCUAAAAAGUGAUCUUUGUUGAAGACGACCUGACAUUUUAUCAUUGCUUGACAUGUCAGUUAAGCUCACCGAAGCAGGGGCUAUUACAGAUAAAAUAGGGACCUUCUACAUCAGAUAAGAAACAUUUUGUGACACCUCUUAAGUUUUUUCUUUCUAGAUUGUGUCUGUAUCUCAAGAUCCUAGAACAAUACUUGAUAUAUAAAACACUCCUGAUAAAUAUGUAUUGAAUUGAAUGAAUCAAGAUAAGCUUCCAUUAUUUUUAUCCUCGGGUCUCAAGAAGUUUCCUAUUCACAAAAUGACUACAUUUUGAUC